rnacentral:rRNA from 1 species
AACGAACGCUGGCGGUAUGCUUAACACAUGCAAGUCGAACGAGAAAGCUCUUUCGGGAGUGAUUAAAGUGGCGCACGGGUGAGUAACACGUAGAUAACCUACCCUUCAGUCUGGGAUAACUUUCUGAAAAGAAGGCUAAUACCGGAUGACACUGAGAGCCUAGUGGUUUUCAGUUGAAAGAUUUAUCGCUGAGGGAUGGGUCUGCGUACCAUUAGCUAGUUGGUAGGGUAAAGGCUUACCAAGGCUUCGAUGGUUAGCGGGUCUGAGAGGAUGAUCCGCCACACUGGAACUGAGACACGGUCCAG